AUUGACGGAGGGUAAUUUACAGCACAACCCCUUCAAGAAUAUCAGUAUUAUAGGAAUACACCUUCUCAUUCACCAAAUUAGACUCAAACCCCUUACCGUCGGUUUCUAUUAAAUGAAAAGUUAAAAUGAUUGUUAUACCCUCCCUAUUAACUAAAACUCAGGUUUUACCUCCAAUAUUCAGUAUGAGCUCUUCGAUGGCGACAACGGCGGAAACCCAAUAGCCCUCCCGUGCAACGAAAGAUCUAGCUCUCUUAACCAAUUCUUCCUCGACAGUACAGAUCUAAACAAGUGAAUUUGUCAUCGCCAAUCUCCAAGCAUUCAAUCGAUUAGAGGAUGGAUACGAUCCCGCAUGAUGAUGGUGGUUGUCAACACCCUUGUGGAGACUGCAACGAAAUGAACCAGGAUGACCUAUUUUGGGGGAUUCUUAUUUAUCCAGUUAACUGGAUCAUCUUCUUGGUUUAGAUUUUGGUUUUGUUUACCAUUGAUUAAUUGUUCAAUCUCGUUUUAAGAUUUUGUUUAAUCUAAAACAUUUAUUUGAAACAAAUUUUUAGUUUUCGAGAAUGUAAUUUGGGAGAAAGGAAGAGAAUGAGAUGAUGAUUUAUGGAUUGUUUCCCCAUUGUUUGAUUGCUGCCAUGAUGGCAUCUAAAGUAUUAGCUCUAGCUGAUCAUUCUCUCCCAUCUUUCAUCUUUACAUCCAUUGGGAUUUAAGCCGGAUUGGUCAGAUAUUUUACUUCCAUUGUUGGUUAUGAUUCUCGGUUUCUCCAGAGCUGUGAUUCUAAGGUUUUUUUUGGUACCGGAUCUUGAUCAAAUUAAUUUUAAAUUAGCAGAUUGGGAUUUUUUUUUAAUCGUAGCCACAAAUCAUGAACUUUGUACAGGGAAAGGAAAUUUUGUGGUAGAGACAUCCCUAGAUUUGGACGGAGAAUACAAAGCUCUGGCGUCAUCUUCAUCUCUAGCUGGUUGGCUUGGAUAUUUAUUCUUGCAGAGUUCACGGCGUGCGGUGUUCAUAUGGUCCCGCGGCUAAGGCUGACAAGUCAGUGAAGUUAGUUCGCAAGGCAUUGAAUUGAGGGAGGAAAGGGCCUGCAAAGGGUCGUGCGAGUGUUCCAUGGGGAAAGCUCAUCUCCGGUGCUCACAGGUGAGUUUAGAUGUUUAAUCUCAUUUAUGGGAUUUGGAUCAUUUAAUACCUUGCCAAACUCUAUACUGCUCCUGGAGAUGGAUGAGAAGCUCUCCGCGAUCGCCAAGUACCGGGCGACAUACCUACCACUCGUGCCACUGAUACUGGUGGCACUAAUCAACCACCUGGAGGUGGUGAAGGAGAAAUAUGAUCUUGGACUACUCUUCCUUCUCCGUUUCCACGAGAUGACAUCAAUGUUUCCGCAUCUCAUACUCAUAAAACAACGGCACCUCGUCUCCCGAAAGCAAAACAGUCCUCAUGCCGCCAUUGUCGUCGCCGGUGCCGCAGUGAUCUCCGGUGCUCUGAACGAUCAUCGGUGGUCCAAAUGAUUUGGGGCUAAGGCUCGAUCAAGAUCCUAUAUCCAUGAGCAACUCUUCAAGGAGCGAGCUGCCAUUGUUUAACCAUGGUUUAAGAAAUAAAAUGAAGGGUAAUUUAUAGCGCCACCCCCUGAAGGGUUGGAGCGAGCAUCUUCAGCGGGUAGCAUGGUCUUUUUCUGCAUCAAUAUUUCUUGGCGAAAAUAUAUAUCAACAGGCCACAGAGGACUAAUGACCUAACUUGUGGUCUUCACUGAAAUGCUGGACUCAUCUUUGAAAGCUUUUGCAAUUAUUUUCAAGUAAGAACUAUUACACAUGAUAAUGACUUAUUAUAUGCACUGGGUAAUAGUGUGAAAUUCUAUCCCUACAAGGAAAUGAAAUGUCCUAGUUAGGAGCAUAAAUCUCAGACAUUGUGAUUGCUAAAGAAAUUACGGAAGAAAUCCAAAAUGGCAUACAUAUUCUCGGACGGAAAAUAGGGAAAACAUUACUCAAAAAUAUACUUUACUUUUUAUAACAUAUAUUGCUUAUUCGUUGCUUUCUCUUUGUUUUUUUUAUGAUCAUCCAACCCGGAAGCGCACAAGAUGCAGAAGUCCGAGGCAUCUUGCAAGGAUUGCAAGAAGCGCAAGGACAAUGAUGGGCGAAGGUAGACAUUUGGACUGUUUGUACAGAAGCAAUUGGAUGGCUUACCCUAGAGACUAAAGCGUGGAUGGCCUUGGGAGAUUUUUGUUCUAUUAACUGAUGGUAUAAAUAGUAUACUCUUUUAAGAAUGUAUGUAUAAGUAAGGUGGGUAGGUCUUUUACGGUUAUAGCUCAUGGUUUAGCUAGACAUGCUAAGUAGAAACACUUACAUUGUACUAUAGAUGAUGCAUAUUUCUCCAGUUUAUAUGAAUGCUAAGUUCGUUUUCAAAAA